rnacentral:misc_RNA from 1 species
CAACCCUCAAGCAAUGCUUGGUAUUGGGCUUCGCUGCUUCACGUAGCGGGCCUCAAAAUCAGUGGCGGUGCCGUCGGGCCCUGAGCACAGUAAAUAUCCUCGCUACAGGGACUCGGUGGACGCUAGCCAUCAACCCCCCACUCUCUCA